GUUAGCAUAGAUGUUUAUAGCUAUAAUAUUCCUUCUGCGUUUAUGCUAUAGUAGCAUCCCAUAAGUUUUAGUAUGUUGUAUUUUUGCUUUCUUUCAUCUCAAAAUGUUUUUUAAUUUCCCAUUUGGUUUCUAAUUUAAUUCAUUCGUUAUUUAGGAUUGUGUUAAUUUCCACAAGUUUAUGAAUUUCCCACAUUUUCUCCUUUCGAUUUCUAAAUUCAUUCCAUUAUAAUCAGAGAAUAUACUUUCAAUACUUUUCAACUUAUUGAGGUUCGUUUUGUGGCCUAACAUGGUAUUUCUGAAGAAUGUUCUAUGUAUACUGAAGAAGAAUAUAGUGUAGUUCUUAUUAAGUGGUCUAUAAAUAUCUGAUAGAUCUAGUUUGUAGUCAAGUCUUCUUCCUUAGCUGUUUUAUCUAUUAUUGAAGGUGGAGCUGUAGUUGUCUCUAUUAUUGUUAAUUGCCAAUUUCUACCUUUAAUUCUCAGUUUUUAUUUUAUGUAUUUUGUGGCUCUGUUAUAUAUAAUUGUUGUGUCUUCCUGAACCCUUUUUAUCAUAAAAUGCCUUUUGUCUAUAGUAACAAUUUUUAUCUUAAAUCUGUUUCCUCUGAUAUAGCCAUUCUAGCUCUUUUUUGGUUACCAUUUGCAUAGUAUAUACCUUUUUCUAUCAUUUUACUUUCAACCUACUUGUGUCUUUGAAUCUAAAUUGUGUGUUUUGUAGAAGCAGGCAGUUGGAUUGUACCCUUUACUUCACCUAUCCUAGCUUUAAUCUGGAUAAAACCCAGAUAACAAACUGAUUUUUUAGUUUCUUCUGCUUUCAUAGAUGAAUAGUUAUUCGUGAUGAAUUGGGAUUUUUGCCCAAAUUUUAAGGGUUAUUUCCAAAUAUAAUCUGACACAGCAGUCUUUAACCUUUUUGGCACCAGGGACCAGUUACGUAGAAGACCUUUUUUUCUACCAACAUAGGUGGGGUGGGCGCAGUGAUUUUGGGAUGAAACUGUUCCACCUCCGAUCAUCAGGCGUUAGUUAGGUUAGGAAGUGGGGUGGGGCGGUGGUUUUGGGAUGAAACUGUUUCAUCUCACAUCAUCAGGCAUUUGUUAGGCUAUCAUACGGAGCACAGACCCUAGAUCCCUCUCAUGCACAGUUCACAGUAGGGUUCAUGCUCAUAUGAGAAUCUAAUGCCGCCACUGAUACAACAGGAGACGGAGCUCAGGUGGUAAUUCGAGUGAUGGGGAGUGGCUGUAAAUACAGAUGAAGCUUCACUUGUUCGCCCACUGCUCACCUCCUCCCGUGCGGCCCAGUUCCUUGCUCACCCACUGCUCACCUGCUCCUGGGCAGCCCAGUUCCUAACAGGCCAAUGGCUGGUGCCAGUUCACGGUCUUGGGGUUUGGGACCUGUGAUCUAACUCAAGGUGAUUGAGACAAUUGAGGAGGGUGACAUUUGGCUGAGUUUUUAAAGGCUUUUAAAAGGAGUGAGUAUUGUCACAAGUGAUUUUUAAUAUAAUAGACUAGGAAAAUGAAAUUAAGUAGCUGGUAUUACCAUUUAAAAUGCUGUAACUGUUAAGCAGAUAAAAAUAGAACAUUAUCUUCAAAAUGUACCAUGUAUUACUAAUAAUUGGUCACCUGUUUUUCUAGUAUGGAGUGUUGAAUAAAGCAAGGAGAUUGAGAGUGAUGUUUGAUCCAAAUGAAAGACAUGAGUUGACAUUAAUAAAUAAAACAUAAUUUGCUUUUAAUUUAGAAAUAGGUGAGGUGGUUAAACUAUACUGCAGGUACUCUCAUCCUUAUCUUCACUCUUAAUAUACUAAAAGCCAUUUGAUUUACAUAUUUCUGUAGAGUCAUUUAUUUUUAAACCAUAGCAGUUAGCAGCUAAUUUUUAAUUAGGCCAAAGAGUAUUUGCAUAGUAUCUAUUAAGCUUUAACUAGAAACAAAGACUUUUUUAGGUGAUUAGUAAAGGAAAGGGUCUAGAUUCCAUCUAAUCCCUUGGGUUGGGCAGUAAAUCCAUAUUGAUAGAGAUGAAUUCAUGUAAAAUUCUCAAGAGCUUUUUUGGGUUGCAGUAUGUUUUUGAGUAAUGAUUUAUCUUUAGUGCUAUGCUGGAAUCUAUAAUAUGUAAAUAAAAUUAAAUGUGCCAUAAUUGGUGUGUUGGAUUUAUAUUUUUUUCCUUUUUCUUCCAGUUAAAGGCAUUAGGAUUUCCUGAAGGACUUGUGAUACAAGCGUAUUUUGCUUGUGAGAAGAAUGAGAAUUUGGCUGCCAAUUUUCUUCUACAGCAGAACUUUGAUGAAGAUUGAAAGGGACUUUUUUAUAUCUCACACUUCACACCAGUGCAUUACACUAACUUGUUCACUGGAUUGUCUGGGAUGACUUGGGCUCAUAUCCACAAUACUUGGUAUAAGAUCAUAGUGAAAACUGGAAACAAAAAAAAAAAACAGCCUCUUCUUGGAAAGUGACAGCAGAAGGUGGCAUGGAGCUUGUGUCCUUGGACAACAAAUCUGGAUAUACUAGGAUUAAUUAUCAGAAGACAGCUCAGGCCAAGUUUUGAUCGUUCCAUACAGUACCUUGUUUAUCUGCUUCUUAAAGAAUCAGCCGAGACACCAUAAAAGAAAUAGGCUUUUUGUGCCUUUUGCUGUUAAUGUUUAAUUUACAAACUGUUUUGGUAAAUCUCUUAAUGUAAGUAGCUAUUUGACUUUGGAAUUUUGCAUUCGAGGUAUACUGUCAUUUCUUGAAAUCUUUUUCUCGUUUAGUUGCUCUGUGGGAAAUGUGAGGAAGCCUAAGUUUGUAUUUGUAAAUUUCUUAUGCCAUCCUCUAGUCAAAUUUUUUUUCAUUGUUUAAAAAUACGGAAGUGUUCCAAUAUAAUUUUUUCCUGUACUGGAUGGCUAGGAUUCUAGAGAAUUGAUUAUAAAAUAUUUUCAAUACA
rnacentral:lncRNA from 10 species